GAUUGGUCGAUCGACGAGGAGAGAUUUUAUUUGCACCAUUUGUCAUCCGUGUAUGGAAGAGGCCGAGAGCUCUUGUCGCGAUAAUUCGUAUUCGCAAUGCAAGUGGGAUAAUGUUAUCGUCAGCGGUAUUUUGAAGGAUCAAUUUGCAAACGGGAAUUUCCGCAAUUUUCAGUUUUAUGUCAACGCGAUGAAGUGUCAUUCUGUGCCGAGGAUUCUACGUGGUGUACGAUAAAAAUGUCUCUGCCCAUCUGAGCGAUAAGAUUUCAAUUUUCUCGAGAGGAGAGUGAGUGACACAUUUUAGAGCAACCUGUGUAUAUGUGUGUCUACUUAAAACAAUGAUGGAGUUGAGUCAUAGUCUGACCCUCAACGAGGAUGCGCUUAAUCAAAUCCCGGAGGCUAAGCGGCCGGUCUUUAUUUUCGAGUGGUUGCGCUUCCUGGAUAAAGUUCUGGUUGCCGCUCAAAAGAAUGAUAUUAAAGGAUGUCAGCAAAAGUUGGUGGAACAGUUGACCAGACAUAUGCAAGGAGCUCCUGGUCCACCUACACGACGUCUCAUAGCUAGAUGUCUUGCUACUCUAUUCAGUGUCGGCGAUACAUUCUUGCUUUUUGACACUGUCAAUAAAUGCAAUGACAUCUUGAGAAAUAAAGAUGAUUCACCAAGCUUCUUACCCACAAAAUUAGCUGCUAUUUGCUGUGUGGGAUGCAUGUAUGAAAAAUUGGGAAGAAUGAUGGGCAGAUCAUAUGAGGAAACUGUACAGAUCCUAAUAAAGUCUUUGCGUUCUGCUGAGUCUCAAAUGCGGAUAGAGAUUAUGCAUACUUUAGAAAAGGUGUGUGCUGGGAUGGGAUCAGCAAUAACCAAUGUGCAUAAGGAAAUAUACAAAGUUUCCAGGCAUUACCUAACCGACAGAGUGAUGGCAGUGAGAUGUGCUGCUGCUAAGUGCUUGUUGGAAAUGUUGAAUCACGCUCCAUUUUUAUAUACGACUGAGAUUGAAAGUGUUGCGACAUUAUGCUUUCGUGCGUUUGAAGGCUCGAAUUAUGAAGUGAGAUGCUCUGUAGCUAAAUUAUUGGGCACCUUGGUGGCAAUGACGCAGCUUCCUUCACCCAAGAUGAAAAAUCUUACAGUUACGCACAAUAAAGGUGUUAGACAGACAUCGCUUGAAGAAGUGUUGAACAUCUUGAUGUCUGGAUUUUUGAGAGGCGGCGUUGGCUUCCUAAAAGGAACGGGCGAGAUAAUAAAAGGAAGUUCUAGCAUAAAUAGAGAAGUGCGAGUCGGAGUGACACAUGCAUACGUGGUGUUUGUUCAAAUGCUAGGUGGCACUUGGCUGGAACGCAAUAUCGGCGCGCUAAUCGCACACGUUUUAGACCUGGUUACAAAUCCGAAAGCCGCUAGUUCGCACGUCGAGGCGGUAUAUUCGCGCAAAUGCGUCAAUUUUAUAUUACGCGGUACUGUCGGCAAACUGUUGGGAGAAGGCGCUCAGGCUGCCGCUUGCAAGGAGAUAGCUCAUAUUAUUCUGAAGCAGAUGAAUUCUAUCGAUUUCAGUCCGGAAAACGCCAAGGACUGCAAUCAGGAGACAUUAUUCAGCCAGCAUUUGUUAGUGUGUGCAUUACAAGAAAUGGGCUGUCUAAUACUGGGAUUAGGCACUACAGCCACGAAUUUAUUAUCCGAUCAGUCACUAAAUCUGAUCGAUACUAUAAUGGCUGUCCUGGUACAUCCGUGUCAAGCCGCUAGACUGGCAGCAUCUUGGUGUUUACGGUGCAUUUGCGUCGCAGUACCGAGUCAAAUAACGCCGUUGAUCGACCGUUGCGUCGACGGAAUCGAGAAUAUGCGAAGCUCACCAGAAGCUAUAGCCGGUUAUAGCAGCGCUCUCGCUGCGGUGCUGGGAAGCGUUCGUCUGUCACCCUUGGGUGUCCCACAUACUAAGGGAAAGAUAAUUUUCAAUACGGCGGAAGAACUACUGAGGAGCGCCAGUCAAAACAGUCGUUUAUCUUUAAAUCGUACGCACGCAGGAUGGCUCUUGAUAGGAGCGAUAAUGACUCUAGGUACGGCAGUAGUGAAGGGCCUACUGCCGAGAAUGUUACUUCUAUGGAGAAAUUCCUUCCCACGCUCGAACAAGGAACUCGAAAGCGAGAAAGCACGCGGUGACGCCUUCACAUGGCAGGUGACUCUGGAAGGACGUGCUGGCGCGCUGUCCGCCAUGUACAGCUUUCUAUUACAUUGCCCUGAGCUUUUAAAUGAUGAUAUCACACGGCGAUUACUCACGCCGAUCGAGUCCGCUUUGGCAAUGCUGACAAAUUUGUCACCCGUUUUGAAGAAUUACGGCCAACAACUGAAAGCUCCCGCUGCUAUGGUUCGUUUACGCUUAUACGAAACGUUGUUGCUGCUACCGCCGCAAACGUUCGAAGGUUCUUACACACAUCUUCUAAGGAUGCUCGUGUCAGAGUUUACGCUUACGGACAACCCUGGAAAUACGACUACUUCUUUAUUGCGUGUAGUUUGUCAUGCUAACGAUUCUGUGAUCCUUGGUACAUGGCUACAGGAGACUGAUCAUCGUACAAUAGAAGAUCAAAUGGAACCAAACAGAAGGGCAGAUUUGGAACAUCUUCAACCAAAUAGUGCUGCAGGAUCCGGGGCAUUGGAGCACAAUACAUGCUGUCUUUAUAGACCAAUGCCACGUAUUGAAAUAAUACCUGGUCCUUUACCAUUGGGUGUAGCAGUGAUUGAUUUAUCGGUUGCGUUAUUUGGCCAGAUAUUCCCGCGCGUAGCAAACAAGCAUAGACUGCAGAUGUUGGAUCAUUUCAGCGAGUGCAUAAAACACACCAAAUCCGGAAGACAGGAAGCGAUACAGAUGAACGUGUUCACUGCUGUGUUGAGCGGCUUGAAAGGCCUCAACGAAGCAAAAACGGGCUUUGGACAAGAGGACGUCAAGAAAUCCGCCACUAAUCUUAUCAUUAGCACACUAGUCAGUGGCAAUCCUAUUUUACGAUGGGCGGCGGGAGAGGCAGUCGGCAGAAUGGCUCAAGUAAUUUCCGAUCCCAAGUUUACCGCUGAAUUGGCGCAGACCAGUUUCGAUCGUCUGAAAUCAGCCCGUGACGUCGCCAGCAGAACCGGCCAUUCGUUGGCGUUAGGUUGUCUCCACAAGUAUGUCGGCGGUAUGGGUUCCAGUCAGCAUCUUAACACUAGCGUCAGCAUCUUGCUCGCACUUGCUCAGGAUAACUCGUCUCCUGUAGUACAAGUUUGGGCAUUGCACGCUCUAGCUCUGAUAGCUGAUUCUGGUGGACCAAUGUUCAGGGGCUAUGUGGAACCUACACUGUCCUUGGCACUGACCCUUCUUCUCAAUGUUCCUCACUCUUACAUCGAUGUACAUCAGUGCAUCGGAAAAGUUUUAUCAGCACUUAUCACUACGAUAGGACCCGAAUUACAAGGUAAUACAUCAACGAUUUGCAUGGCACGGUCGUCAUUUUUGUGCGCGUGUGCCAUCAUGCAGGAUCAUCAGGAUCCGCUCGUUCAAGCCGAGGCAACUGGCUGCCUUCAACAGUUGCAUCUCUUCGCACCCAGACAUGUUAAUCUGUCUUCCCUCGUUCCCACAUUAUGCCGUACUCUAUCGAGUAAUCAUUUACUUUUGCGUAAAGCUGCAAUAUCGUGCCUUCGACAGCUCGCUCAACGCGAAGCGAAGGAAGUGUGCGAGCACGCGAUGACGUUGGCCAACGAAAGCAGAGACACCAACGUGGUGGAGGGUCUCGUCAUCACUGAGACCGGAUUACCAGGCGUGCUGUUUAGUAUGCUGGAUACAGAAACUGACAGUAAACUGAUCAAAGACAUACAUGACACUUUGACGAGCAUGUUACAGAUAUUAGCGGCCGACAAUCUGUCUCAGUGGUUGUCGUUAUGCAAAGACGUUCUCACGAUAGCUUCAGAAUCAAGUACAAUCGAGGAAGGUAACGCGGCGAAUGCGGAUGACAGCACCACUGACAAUGAGUCAGCCGACGCGGAGGGUGACGAUGAUCAGGCUGAAUUUCACGCCGACGAAUCCACCAAGCAACGGCCGUCCAUCACGCCGAGGUGGCCGACCAGAGUCUUCGCGGCGCAAUGCGUCAGACGCAUCGUCGCGGCCUGCGUGAACAAUAAACAGGCGCAUUUCGAUCUCGCUUUGGCGAAAGAGAUGCAACUGUCUAAGGGAAAAGGAGAUUUUCUGGUGCUACACCUGUCAGAUCUGGUGCGCAUGGCGUUUAUGGCUGCGACAAGCGAUUGCGAUCCGUUGCGGCUCGAAGGUCUGAAAACUCUGCAAGAAAUCAUUGAUAAAUUCGCUAAAGUUCCCGAACCGGAGUUUCCCGGGCAUUUAUUGCUGGAGCAGUUCCAGGCACAGGUUGGAGCUGCUUUAAGACCAGCGUUUUCCGCGGAAACACCGUCGCAUGUUACUGCCGCGGCCUGUGAGGCUUGCAGCGCAUGGAUCGGCAGCGGCGUCGCCAGGGAUCUCAAUGAUCUGCGAAGAGUCCAUCAGUUGCUCGUGUCGUCCCUGGAGAAAUUGCGGGAGGGUAAUACUCGACCGCAACUUUAUAACGAGAGCUUGUCGACAUUGGAGAGAUUGGCAAUUUUAAAAGCGUGGGCUGAGGUGUACGUAGUCGCGAUGAUACGGGACGGAUCCGCGCUAAACAGCAAAGAUACAGCUAAUCGAAACGCAAAUCAACCCGACGAAGGAAACAAUGAGGAAGACUUUGGGGAAUUCGAGUUUCAGAGCGAAAGUCUACUGAGCCUUGUCCAACCGGAGCUUCUGAGUCUGAGUCAACAUUGGCUAUCCGCACUGCGGGAUCAUGCCUUGUUGUCUUUGCCGCCAGAAUUCUCCAGUCAAUUGCCGCAUGAUGGUGGUGCCUUUUACACGACGGACACUAUGGAAUCCGCGCGUCCUCAUUAUGUAGAAUCAUGGGCGCCAAUUCUUCAUGCUGCAACUCUCUGGCUCAAUGCGAGGGGAUUCGAAAUGGAUAAUAAUAAUCAAGAGAAAACUGCAAAUGCCACCAAUAAUAACAAUCAUAACAAUAAUAACAAUAACGAUGAGGCCGCUGCUGCCUCUAAAACUAAUAUGAAUGUUGGACGCUUUCACUUGUUAUUUGGUAUAUGUAUGGAAGCUUUGUGCAGUCCUCGCUCUUCUGAAUCUCCACAAAAUAUAGAGACGUGCUUAAAUGCUUUAUACACGCUGCUCGAUUCAACGUGGGCGCGUAAGGUCUUUAUCGCGGACUGUUCCUUACCCAUUGAAUUAUGCAACGUUCUUCAUAGGUUGCUCUUAACGCGAGAGAGUUACGUCAUCCAAAUGAUAGUAAUGGAGGUGUUGAAACAAGUGAUGAAAGCGGCACAGGAAGAUUUGGCUGCAAGGAAAAAAUUGAAGCUCCGAGAUGCCACAUCAGCAAAUGAAGAAAACAACGAAAUGUCGGAAGUGGAUUUGCUGGGCGAAGGAAAGGAAAGCGGCGAACUUGUACCGGGCAAAUCGUUAGUAUUUGCCACCCUGGAAGUGUGCCUGUGUCUUUUGGUACGACAGAUACCGGCGUUAAAUCCGAAUCCGGGUGGUGCCACUGCUAUCCUGUCUCAAAAAGGAUACAUACCUUCUGAGGAGAGCGGCAAACUCAUCUCGUUGUCCCUCAAUAUAAUAGAAUCUCUUCCCACUUUAUGUUCUCCGCAAGGCGCAAUAGCAAUUCUCCCGACACUGCUGUACUUGGCGACUGGUGUAAUACGAGAAACCGCAGUGCGCACAGAUAACGAGAACACCAAACUCGGUGCGGAGGCACCAGUUCACGCCGCGUUGCACUGCGUCAAGAGUCUUAUCACUAACAAGUAUGCCCGAGAUCACAGAAGUCAGGAGCAAUGGACCGGAUUACUGCGAAGCGCACUUGCCAAGAUUAUCGAUCUGGCCAAGACAGGCAAUGAUGAAACAAAGAUGGACGAGGUAGCCAUGAUGCUGGGUAUCGCGGUGUUCGUGCUUCACGCGUCAUCAGAAGUAGUGAGUGCUCCGAAUCUGCAAUUCCCGUGUAUCAAUCACUUCCGACACGCAUUCCAGUCUGAAAAUCUGACGGUAAAACUAAAAUGCGUGCAAACGUUAAGAACGAUAUUUCUGCAUCCGGAACGUAAUAUAAGCACUCCGUACAUCCACGCGCUCGCGCCACGACUGGUAGAAUAUCUGUACAGUGAUAAGAGCAAACAAGUCACGGACGAUAUGGAAUUGACCUUCACGUUGGAAUGCGUUAGUACGGUGGAAGCUCUCAUAGGACUCGCCGAUCUUUCUAAUCGAGAUCUAUUACAAGGUAUUCAAAUGCUGACUCUACUUGUGCCAAUUUUAAUCAACUACUUGCUGGAAGGAGACGAGCUUCAACGCGCUACUAAGUAUCAGGCGAGCCUUCACCAACAGAGCUUUCAAUGGCUGAAUAAGAUCGGGCCCAAGUAUCCGCAGGAAUUUAAAACACUGAUGUCACAGUCUACCGAACUGAAGACUAAAUUAGAGAACGCUGUAAGGACUAGCCAUUUGCAGGCGCAACGACAUACUCGUCAAGUUGAUCCUGUGAAACCGCAGAUCAAGAUAUCCGCGCCGUCAAUAAAACUGAAAACGGAUUUCUCCAACUUUAAUUAGAGAAGAAAUAUAAUCUGUUACAGGUCAAAGGUAAUCUAUUAGAAUCGUGUGAAAGAUAUUAAAUAACGACAUUAGCGAUUCUGUUGUAAUAGAGUAACGUGGUUAGGUUAGAUUUACAUCAAGACGACUGACUUCAUUGAUUAUCGAUCAGAAGAAAUGAAGCAAGAAUGAAUUGUGUGGCAUAAGAUGUAUAUUAGGAAACAUAAUUUGAAAAUCUGUGUGUGGACUUGUUACACCACAAUAAUUGUCUUUCCAUUUAAAAUUCGAUAUAGCAGCCACUCUCACAACGUAUGUAUAGAAUUAAUUUCGAAAAUUGCAUUUUAGAUCUGGUGUAUCAUUGAUAAAAAUUUUCUAGGAAUAUGGAGAAUUAUUUUAAUUGCGCAGAAAGGAUUAUUUGCUCGAUAAAUGUUCAACUAUUUUUAUAUGAUUAUUUUAGAGAAUAUACAUUAAUCUCGUAUACAACUUUUAAUUGCUUGCAGCAUUUGCGUUUAUAUACAUAUUUAAUAUAUUGUAUAUCUGAUCCAUCGAACUUCCAUGUACAAUGAGUUUAUCAUGUUUAUCAUGUUUUAUUCAAUCAACAGGAAUCCUCUCUGAUGAACGGUACAAUUGUGUAAUGGUGCAAUUAUACGUUAUAUUGCUGCUGUAAUCGACAGAAAUAAAAAUCACUUAAUUCAACUGCA